UCUCAAAGAAGGUUUCGAUAAAUUUUGCAGAUUUCGUUGAUCACCAUCCGAGAUAAAUGAUACAUAGACAUCUAAUAAAUGGGAAUGACUUUAAAAACCAAUUGCAUUAAGGCCAAUUGUCCGACCAUGGAAUUAAAGCAGUUUUUUUUUUUUCGAAUCCGACUACCAUUUCUCAAUCUUAUGUAUGAGAAAGUUCCAAUCUGACCUACUUGGCAUCCCGAGGG
rnacentral:lncRNA from 1 species